CCGCAUGGAAGAGCAUACUGUUUUCCAGCCUCUCCUAUUUCCUCCAACUUCCUGUUUGUCCGUUGUCAGCCACUGUGGGACAAGGGAAUGGGAUCUUAAGGGACUUCCUUAUUGGAACCUCAUCAUGACGUCCAGAAACAGGAGAAAUGGUCUCUGUCAUUUUACACCAUGGAGGUUUGAGCAGCUCUUGGCAAGGACAAUUCUUCCCUCUUUGGCCAUGUUCGGGUCUGGCCAUUUAUGUGAAACUGGAAACAACUAGAUGUCCCUCAACUGAAGAUUGGAUAAGAAAAUGUGCUACAUCUACACAAGGGAAUACUAUUCAGAUAUUAAAAACAAAAACAUGAUGAAUUUUGCAGGCAAAUAGGUGGAACUUGAGAAUAUCAUCCUGAGUGAGGUAACCCUGUCCCAAAAGGACAUGCAUGGUAUGUACUCACAUAUAAGUGGAUAUUAGCCAUAAACUACAGGUACCAUGUUACACUCUAUAGACCCAAAGAAGCUAAACAAGAAGGAAGGCCCAGGCGAGGAUUCUUGACUCUCGUUUAGAAGGGGGAAUAAAAUAGUCCUAAGAGGCAGAUGGUGGGAGAGAUCUGGGAGGGAGAAGGGAUGGGGGAGAAUAGGGGUAGCUCAGAGUUAGGAAGGACAAGAGAGAUGAUCAGAUGGUCAUGAAAAUGAAUGGAAACCUGCAACUGAUGGGGUGAGGAGGUAGGAUGCAUCUCCAGGAUGAGACAGAGGCCUGGAAUAAGGGAGGUUCUUAAGAACCAAUGUGAGUGACCUUGACUGUUUCUUGGUCUGCUUUGGAGUUUUUCAGGGUUUCUCCUCAUGUGAUUCUGUUCAAGUAUGUACAUGUGUACAUUACAUGCUAUGAUCUGCAUAUAAGAGAGAGCAUACCAUAUGACUCCCCUGCACUACUUCUAAGAAAACCCCCAAAGGACCUGCCUCCUACCACAGGAUAUGUCUAUUGCCUGUCUGUUUCCCACGGUUAGAGAAUGGAGCCAGUCUAGGAGCUUAUCAGGUUGUUCUUAAUUCAGUUGACUCUCAAAUUUCCCUGAGACAGUUUUAAAAUGCAGAUUCAUGCGACCUUCCACAGACCUAACCAGAAUCUCCAGGAAUGUAGCAAGAGGACUAAAUCAGUCAUCAGCGUGUAAGAAUGAGUGGACAAAGUCAGUCUUCUCUGCUACAUGGCUGAUGAUGGAUUAUUUGGUUCUGUAUUUUGCAUCUUCUGUGAUGGAAACUCAAGAUAUAGAUUGUAGUAGCUCCAGAUAUAGAUUGUUCCAUAGUUGGGAUAGGCUAUUAUCUUCUGGUACAUUGUCUCAGUCUUUCCUAGGUAUCUGUAUCACACAGGCUAAAGAGUGCUACAACUCCAUUUCCGAGAUUUCAUCACAACUAAGAACCUAGGUAUGAGAUAAAUUUUAGCAACAUGAUGUCCUGAAUUCAGUUUUGCAAGACUCUAUAAGAAGGUAACCUGGUGUAAUUGUUAGCCAGGUAGGAUUUGAUAUUUCAGUGACUGAUUCCA
rnacentral:lncRNA from 1 species